ACCGUUGUCAUAGUCAACAAGGUUGAAACUUCGAAUUGGGAGGGCGAUCCUCCUGGUGAACAGACCGUAACCCAAACUGACACAGGUGAACAAGUCGAGUAUACUAGGGCACUUGAGAGAACCAUGUCGAAGGAACUCGGCAAAAUGACCCUGUAACUUUGGGAGCAGGGGUGUUCUCCUAUCUUUUGAUUAGAAAAGCGUCACAUACCAGGGGGUAGCGACUGUUUAUUAAAAACACAUGACUCUGCUAAGUGGUAACACGAUGUAUAGAGUCUGACACCUGCCCUGUGCCGGAAGGUCGAAAGGAGAAGUGUUAUAAGCUUUGAAUGAAAGCCCCGGUAAACGGCGGCAGUAACUCUAACUAUCCUAAGGUAGCGAAAUUCCUUGUCGACACCUUCAUCAGCAUAGAUCGAAAACAUAAUAUUUAAGGAAGGAAA
rnacentral:ncRNA from 1 species